CCUGCUAAGGGAGUCCUGUGUGGCCACCUUCGCCUGGCCCAGGAGGCCUGGAUUGCAGCGCCAGCCAUCAAGGCCUCACCAGGCCAGGCUAGGCCAGGCCCCAAUCGACACGCCUGCUGUCCAGGCUGACACAGGCUCCAGGAAUGCAAACAGAGCUGGGUGGAGGGACCUCCUGAGGGCCAGGGUGCUGGGCCAGGCAGGAGGCGGCAGGCCUGUGGGAGAGGCCUGCACAGGGGCCUUGGGCCUUGGACAAUGUCAUGUUGUUGCCACCCCGGCUGCCUGAUAAGGCUCCUGCCUCCUGAUGUGAGGAGAGCCGGAGCUGCCAGCUCUGGUCUUCAGGAUUUUCUGGGAAGGAAGUUCCCCGGAUCAGAGAUUCUCAAAGCUGAUCCCUGAGCCAGCAUCAUCCGUGACACCUGAGAAAGGAUCAGAAGCCCUGAUGUCCUGGGAAAAGCAGAGGCUGGCCAUACAUGCCUCAGUGGUAGCACACGUGCCUGGAUAUUGGCUCUAACGGAGUUGGAGCCUAGUACCUUAGCAAGUAGUUAUAUGCAAUGCUCACUUUGGGGGACAACAAUGCUUAAUAAGUCACCUUCUGUCUUGUUAGGGUUUUAGCGUUGUGAAGAGACACAUGGUGCUGGAGAUGGAGCUGAGAGUUCUGCAUCUUGACCUACAGGCAGCCAUGAGGAGACUGGCUCAGCACUGGGCAUAUCUGGAGCGUAUAUAUGAGACCUCAAGCCCACCCACGGUGACACUUCCUCCAACAAGGCCAUACUUUCUAAUAGUGCCAUUCCUUAUGAAAGAUGUUUAUACCCAGUGACAGCCACUACCCAGCCACCAGCGCAGGGCCUGAAAGCUGAGCCUACACUGGGAACUAUUUACUGUCAGCUGCUCUCUGUCAGCAGGCUCCGGAGCCACAGGGACUCUAAGGAAGCAAAGGUAGGGAGCAAAGGGAGAGACAGCCACAGGAGGCACGUGGCAUUAUCUUGCUAUGGCACUAUUCACUGCUGAGUGUCUGCCUGUUCACACCAUCCCAGAGGGCAGUGUAACACUGGUGGGCUAUAUGAACACCAACCAGAUCAAAACGCUGGAGGAAAAGACUCUCAGGGCCAGGUCCCCAAAGGAGGGGGUGCUGAAGUUUUCAGCAGCUUCCUCCUCCUCCUGUGGACACCAGGAUGGCAAAGCAGAGAUCCUCCAUGGCCACCAGGAAUGGAGGGCGCUGUCCUGUGGCCCUGCCCUUGGCCUCUGUGGCAGGGAUGAUCUUGUCGUCACCUCUGCCUGUGCUCCCUCACCACGCUGUCUUCACAGAUUGAGAGCCAGCUGAAGAGGAGAGAGAGGCUGCAGAGGAUACCUGAACCGGGGAGCUGGUUGGGUUCCCACAGGGCACUGCGAGGCGUUGCCUGGUGUUGGAGAACGAGCUGGCCCCUGGCUGAUCUUAAACAGCGCGGCUGAGGGCCAUAGCGAGGGUACUGUGUAAGCCAUGAAGCUUUGGGUCAUCGGCACCGCCAGUUCCCUGUGCUUCUAGCUCUGCAUGAAACCAAGGGCCAUAAAGGUAAGGUAUCAAGGGGACUGAUGAGGGAACAGGGAACAGCCUGAAAGUCUAAGAAUUCUACUCAGCCCAUCAGUGGGCCACGCUGGUGCCACAGGGACAUCUGACGUACUGGCUAGCUGUUCACCCACACUGGGAGGUGCCCACAGUACUGUCCUUGCUGUCCUAAACCUCUCACUUCCUAACCUUCUGGCCUGCCCGCUAGCUCACGUUCACAUUCAGAACAUUUCAGGGGCUGCUGAGGAGAGCCACGGUGAACAGGAGCCAGGUUGAGGGUAACGUGAGGUGGCUAGCAGGAUGAAACUGGAGUCCCAACUGCAGGAGGCCACCCAGAGAGAGCCUCUAAAGAGGGAACUGCAGACACCCUCCCAAUGGCAGAAGCUGCCCCUGGGAGGUGAUCUGUAAGCAUAUCUGAAGGACCCUGCCCUCCGUGAUCCUAAAGGAAGAAGAAGGGACCGAAAAAGGAAGGUGACAUCUCAGUGAUGCUUGUGUGUGUUCUAAGCAGAGGCGGCAGGAGUCCCUAAGGAGAAGGAGGAACUGCAGCUGAGGGGGCCAUGCAGGACACAGGGAGGACUGGCAAGAGAUCAAGACUGAGCUGGCCAAGACUGUACAUGGAAGAAUCCAACGCCAGCCAGAAGCUCACAGAGGAAGCGCUGUAGGUGAUUGGGCAAAUAGCUUAUCUGUGACUGGAUUCAUUCCAGAGGCAAACUGGGCUUAGCUGAAGGUUCACCUGUAGGGGACAGUGGUGGCAGUAUCACAGAGAGCAUCAAGGCCAUGAAACAAACCAAGCACAUUCCAGAAAAGCGGGCUGAUCAUUUUGACCUUCACACCUGCAGAGACUGUACGAUUAACACGAAGGACUCCCUCAGGGUCUCAUAGACCUAGGCUGGUCCAGGUGGGGACUGUGGCGAUGCCAGGAAAGGAAGAAAAGGUGUGAGAUGGGGAGAAGAUAAGAAGAGGGCUGCAGGAGUGAAGGCUGGGGCUAGCCCCAGCUCCCAAGUAUGCUGGCGACUCCAUGUGUCUGCUUCCUUCUGCUGCUCAGCUGCUGUAGCAAUGACAAUGACAGUUAUGGCUUCGAGAUAUUCUUAGCUGGUCUCAUGUCUUCCAGGCCGGUCUCAAACUCCCUAUGUAGCUGAGAAUGACCUUGAACUUUAAUACCCUCUUCCCUCCACCUCCUGAGUGCUGGAAUUAGAGGUGUGCGACACCACACUCCAUUCAUGUGGAUCAAUCCAGGGUUUUAUGCCCUGAGCUGCGUCUCUAAGCUGCGAUGUCAUUUCUUUUGGGUUUGUCCUGAAAGUUCAACACACCCCAAUUAAACCCAGAGAAUUACUUUGUGGAUAUGGAAAGAAAGGCCAAUAAAAUCCUAAAAGCAAGGAACAAAGAAGGUUGAUAUUAUCAGCCUUGGAGCACACUGUGAAGUGGCAGCUGUCAGUAUUCUGUGAUACUGGUGACGGAAUAGACCCACAGAGUAGAAAGAGAAAGGAGAGACCUAGAAAUAGACCCACGUGAUUCUCUCUGACAUUCCCAGGGGAGAAAAGACAAGAUAAUACUUUCCACAGAUGGUACCAGGAGAAUUGGGCAUCUAUGUUCACAAAAAUGUGCAGACAAACAGAUGUUAUACCUUUUGUUUGUUUUUUGGUGUCUCCAUGUAGUCCUGGGUGUUGUGGAACUGGCUCUGUAGACCAGGCUGACUUCAAAUUCACAGAAAUCAGCUUGCCUCUCUGCCUCUCCAGCAGGGAUUAAAGGAGUGGGCCAUCUUUUAUGAAAAAGAAAAACACAUUCAAAUGUAAAAACAUAAUGAUGAAAUUUCUGGGUGAACAUAUUAGACAAUCUAGUAACCUUGGGUUACUGCUUCUCUGUACCCCAGUUUCCUCAUCCAUUCUUGAGAGAGAGAGAGAGAGAGAGAGAGAGAGAGAGAGCAGAAUGGUCAGUUUAUCUAGUGGGAAGCUGAGAAGCUGGGAAUUAUCACCUAGGGAUGCUACACCUGGGGAUGCUACACCUGGGGAUGCUACACCUGGGGAUGCUACACCUGGGGAUGCUACACCUGGGGAUGCUACACCUGGGGAUGCCACAUUUUUGUAGCCUGACAGGACACUUCCUGGUUUCAUCUCUGAGAAAAAGCAGUAGUGACAAAAUAAAAAACAUCAAACACAAAAAUUACAAUAGUUUCACUAUGUGGAAGCUUAUUUUUGACGGGGAUAGAAAUCUGGCCUCCAAGAGGCCCAGGGCUAACAGAGGAUGCCACAGUGACUGGUAUCU